UUACGACCACAUCACGUUGAAACACCGGUUGCCGUACGAUCACUGAAGUUAAGCAACGUUGGGCCUAGUCAUUAAUUAGAUGGGUGACCGCUUGGGAGUACCAG